CAGUAGCCACGGUAAUACGGAGGGUGCAAGCGUUAAUCGGAAUUACUGGGCGUAAAGCGCACGCAGGCGGUUUGUUAAGUCAGAUGUGAAAUCCCCGAGCUUAACUUGGGAACUGCAUUAGAAACUGGCAAGCUAGAGUCUUGUAGAGGGGGGUAGAAUUCCAGGUGUAGCGGUGAAAUGCGUAGAGAUCUGGAGGAAUACCGGUGGCGAAGGCGGCCCCCUGGACAAAGACUGACGCUCAGGUGCGAAAGCGUGGGGAGCAAACAGGAUUAGAUAUCCCAGUAGUCCCUGUCUCUUAUAC
rnacentral:rRNA from 1 species